rnacentral:piRNA from 1 species
UAACUAAAAGGUGCCAAUCUGUUUAUAC